rnacentral:RNase_P_RNA from 1 species
GUGAGCCGGAGCACGACACGCUGCCACGGCAGAGGAAACUCCUCCCUCGUUACAGGAGGCGCGGCCCGGAGACGGGCAGCCGGAGACGGCUGGCAACGGAGCAGAAAAGGAAUCCCACAUGGAGCACUGUGAAGGUGGCACCGGAGGUUUCCAUGGACGGAGUGAAAAAGCCGCCCCGCGCCGAGCAAGGCCAAACAGGGCCGCAGGUGCCUGUACCAGGCCCAGGUAGGCCGCAAAGCGGAAUAUCGUGGAAACAAGAGGAGGGUUACUCCCGGCACAC